rnacentral:rRNA from 1 species
UACGUAGGUGGCAAGCGUUGUCCGGAAUUAUUGGGCGUAAAGCGCGCGCAGGUGGUUUCUUAAGUCUGAUGUGAAAGCCCACGGCUCAACCGUGGAGGGUCAUUGGAAACUGGGGAACUUGAGUGCAGAAGAGGAAAGUGGAAUUCCAAGUGUAGCGGUGAAAUGCGUAGAGAUUUGGAGGAACACCAGUGGCGAAGGCGAACUUUCUGGUCUGUAACUGACACUGAGGCGCGAAAGCGUGGGGAGCGAACAGG